rnacentral:rRNA from 1 species
GGUGAGUAACACGUGGAUAACCUACCUAUAAGACUGGGAUAACUUCGGGAAACCGGAGCUAAUACCGGAUAAUAUUUUGAACCACAUGGUUCAAAAGUGAAAGACGGUCUUGCUGUCACUUAUAGAUGGAUCCGCGCUGCAUUAGCUAGUUGGUAAGGUAACGGCUUACCAAGGCAACGAUGCAUAGCCGACCUGAGAGGGUGAUCGGCCACACUGGAACUGAGACACGGUCCAG